rnacentral:rRNA from 1 species
CACUCCUGCGGGAGGCAGCAGUGGGGAAUUUUGGACCAUGGGCGCAAGCCUGAUCCAGCCAUGCCGCGUGCGGGAAGAAGGCCUUCGGGUUGUAAACCGCUUUUGUCAGGGAAGAAAAGGUUCUGGCUAAUACCUGGGACUCAUGACGGUACCUGAAGAAUAAGCACCGGCUAACUACGUGCCAGCAGCCGCGGUAAUACGUAGGGUGCAAGCGUUAAUCGGAAUUACUGGGCGUAAAGCGUGCGCAGGCGGUUAUGCAAGACAGAGGUGAAAUCCCCGGGCUCAACCUGGGAACUGCCUUUGUGACUGCAUGGCUAGAGUACGGUAGAGGGGGAUGGAAUUCCGCGUGUAGCAGUGAAAUGCGUAGAUAUGCGGAGGAACACCGAUGGCGAAGGCAAUCCCCUGGACCUGUACUGACGCUCAUGCACGAAAGCGUGGGGAGCAAACAGGAUUAGAAACCCGUGUAGUCC